rnacentral:misc_RNA from 1 species
AUAUUGUUCGUACAAAUAAUAAAAAGAAAUUUUGUCUAUUUCUACAGCAGCGACUGAGUCCGUCAAAACCGAGUCUUACAAAUAAGCACUACUUCUUUGAGUACUUUCUUCGAUUCCGUUUCUCCAACGCACUGUGUUCAUGACUCCAAAACUCGCCCAGAAACGUCUUGGCCGCAUCCAAACUCGGGAAAUAAGUCGGUUCCAGGAACAGCUGAGUCAGCGAGUCGCAAGUGUCCGGACUCACCAAAACCCGAUUCCCUUUAGCUUCCAAGCUCCCCAUAACCACAGCCAGCAACUGCUUAUACCCAUAGAAAAACCUCUUCAACGCUGCCUCUGUCGCCUGCAACCCUUGAAGUAAACUAAUCUUCUCGAAAUCCCUCUUCUCUUUGUACAGUCUCAUCGCCGCCUCCUGGAUUCUCGGCCCACCCUUGGGGUCCACCUCCACGCCUAGAAUCUCCGGAACCUUGUGCUU